rnacentral:rRNA from 1 species
UACGGGGGGGCAAGCGUUGUUCGGAAUUACUGGGCGUAAAGCGCACGUAGGCGGCUUUCUAAGUCGGGGGUGAAAUCCUGGAGCUCAACUCCAGAACUGCCUUCGAUACUGGAGAGCUCGAGUCCGGGAGAGGUGAGUGGAACUGCGAGUGUAGAGGUGAAAUUCGUAGAUAUUCGCAAGAACACCAGUGGCGAAGGCGGCUCACUGGCCCGGUACUGACGCUGAGGUGCGGAAAGCGUGGGGAGCAAACAGGG